GAUGAACGCUGGCGGCGUGCCUAAUACAUGCAAGUCGAGCGAACAGACGAGGAGCUUGCUCCUCUGACGUUAGCGGCGGACGGGUGAGUAACACGUGGAUAACCUACCUAUAAGACUGGGAUAACUUCGGGAAACCGGAGCUAAUACCGGAUAAUAUAUUGAACCGCAUGGUUCAAUAGUGAAAGACGGUUUUGCUGUCACUUAUAGAUGGAUCCGCGCCGCAUUAGCUAGUUGGUAAGGUAACGGCUUACCAAGGCAACGAUGCGUAGCCGACCUGAGAGGGGGAUCGGCCACACUGGAACUGGGACACGCUCCGAACUCCUACGGGAGGCAGCAGUAGGGAAUCUUCCGCAAAGGGCGAAAGCCUGACGGAGCAACGCCGCGUGAGUGAUGAAGGUCUUCGGAUCGUAAAACUCUGUUAUUAGGGAAGAACAAAUGUGUAAGUAACUAUGCACGUCUUGACGGUACCUAAUCAGAAAGCCACGGCUAACUACGUG
rnacentral:rRNA from 1 species